UUUUAUCUAAACAUUGAACAGGAACAAACUGAAAAACAAAAUUGAACAACUUAACAACAAAGAAUGAUGAACAUGAACUUAUUUGCUCACUUUACUGAAUAGUUCAUUGGUGCUCUUUCGUUUGUGAACGACUCAACGCUACUAAAUACCUCCCAAAAGUGCUGAACGUAGUCAGAAGGCAAUCGUUUCGAACGCUUUGCUUAGAAGCACACUUAACAAAUCAUGUCACAUAGCAAACUUAUCAGGAAUGAUUCUUAACACGCCUUGGAAACGCCAUUCAGUGCAGUACAUUUUAGAGGACCGCCAGGACCCACACUAAACUCUCCAAUCAAUGCAAUUAAAGUAAAUGCACAACAACAAUUGCACAACGAGCAUGUUCAUAUGGAUAUGUGCUAUACGUGUUAUACUUAUAUAUACUACGAUAUAAUGGCCCAGACAUCGCGUGAGUUGUGCUAAUGCAUUGCCACACCCAGCUAUGAGAGCGGGCGUUGACGAGGCCAAGGAGUCGACGAGGAGGCAUGGGGUGUAAUCCUUUUUUAUAUUCGCGCGUCGAGUGCAGCACGUGAAGUCAAAGUCGAUGGCGAAGUCGAUUGUGAAAGGAAUUCAACAAUGAAACCAUGGCAACAACAACAGCAACACAACACAAAAAUGGGCUGCACAAAAAGUGCCAAGAGAGGGAAGUGGGAAGAGGUGGUGAGUUUUACACUAGACGGAAGCGAGUAGACGACAAAGCGACAAAGUGCGUCAUCAAAGCGCAAUUUUAAACUUUACACUCGCAGAAAUAAGACACAAGAUACAUUCAAAGUGUUUUCUAAAUGGCAAGCAAUUAUAUUAUUAACUUAAUGUUAAAUUCAUAGAUUAAUUGUGCAAUUAAAAUCAAUUAAUAAAUUACAUUUUUUAUUACGCAU